rnacentral:rRNA from 1 species
CGAGCGGAAGGCCCUUCGGGGUACUCGAGCGGCGAACGGGUGAGUAACACGUGAGCAACCUGCCCUAGGCUUUGGGAUAACCCCGGGAAACCGGGGCUAAUACCGGAUAGGACCUUCGGACGCAUGUCUGGGGGUGGAAAGUUUUUCGGCCUGGGAUGGGCUCGCGGCCUAUCAGCUUGUUGGUGGGGUGAUGGCCUACCAAGGCGACGACGGGUAGCCGGCCUGAGAGGGCGACCGGCCACACUGGGACUGAGACACGGCCCAGACUCCUACGGGAGGCAGCAGUGGGGAAUAUUGCACAAUGGGCGGAAGCCUGAUGCAGCGACGCCGCGUGAGGGAUGACGGCCUUCGGGUUGUAAACCUCUUUCAGCAGGGACGAAGCGCAAGUGACGGUACCUGCAGAAGAAGCGCCGGCCAACUACGUGCCAGCAGCCGCGGUAAGACGUAGGGCGCGAGCGUUGUCCGGAUUUAUUGGGCGUAAAGAGCUCGUAGGCGGCUUGUCGCGUCGACUGUGAAAACCCGCGGCUCAACCGCGGGCCUGCAGUCGAUACGGGCAGGCUAGAGUUCGGUAGGGGAGACUGGAAUUCCUGGUGUAGCGGUGAAAUGCGCAGAUAUCAGGAGGAACACCGGUGGCGAAGGCGGGUCUCUGGGCCGAUACUGACGCUGAGGAGCGAAAGCGUGGGGGAGCGAACAGGAUU